rnacentral:lncRNA from 1 species
UUUUUUUUGUGGUGGUGGUGGGUGGGAUCCUAAAAUCUCAAAUAAAUGGGAAUGAAGACUAAACAAUAAGUGACUUAACAACAAAGAUAAAAGUUGAUCAUAUUAAAAGGUGUAACUGAUUGUCUCAUCCAAGCAUAACUUUAUAUUCAAGAACUUCAAUUAUCACCUCCGUGAUAAUUAUGAGUUCAAGAACUCAUCUCUUCUAGAUCAAGGGCAACUUCUGAAAUAAACUUGAAUUGCUCGGCUGGAACAUCACCUUUUAUUUCUUUUUUAAUUUUUUCCAACCGUGAUUUAUAUGCCUCAAAUUGCUUCAACCUGUUCUCCAACAUGUGUUUAUCUAUUGGCAUUUCUGAGUCAAGGUAUUUCUCCUUGAAUUCUUGUACUUCUUUACGAAGAUCUUCAAAUGCCUCAAAGACAUUUGUUUUGCUCAUAUCAGUAUGAUUCUGUAGGCUAUCAUUUUGUUUCAAUUCAUGAAACUUAUUAAUUACUUUUUCUAUACUUGGGGAGCCAUAGGAAUGUGGUUUUCCAGCUUGUGUAAAGAGAAUAAAACCGACAUCUGCUCCGGUUAGAUUUGAAUAGUCUUUUGCUUUCUUGCCCAAGCCAUUUUUUCUUUUUGAAAAAGCAACUGUGCGAGCUUCUUUAGACUCAAUCAACUUCAUUUCGAUCUUUUGUCUACCCUUUCCACCCCUCUUAUCCAUUGCAAAGUAAAUAAUUAGAGAAGAGAAAAGAUGUGUUGGUUGAAUAAGUCUGAGCAAUUUUGAAAAGAAUGCUUGUGUAAUUUAUAGUAGCUAUACAAGUUGGUUUGUCACAAGUAAUGACACGUUUAUUGAAAAUUUUAAUAUUAUAAGUUUAAUCAUCACGUGUAUUGUCAUGUAUACUUAUUGUGUUCACAUUACGACUUGAUUUGUCACAAGUAUUGACAGGUUUAUUUAAUAUGUUUAUAUUAUAAAUUUAAUCAUAAUGUGUUUUGUCAUGUAUGCUUAUUGUGUUCACAUUAUGAGUCUGUUGUCGCGAGUAUUGACAGGUUUAUUUAAUAUUUUCAUAUCAUUAGUUUAAUUAUACGUGUCUUGUCAUGUAAUAUUUUCAUAUUAUAAGUUUAAUCACCACACGUCUUGUCAUGUAUACUUUUUGCAUUCACAUUAUGAGUCAGUUUGUCAUGAGUAUUAACAAGUUUAUUGAUAUUUUAAUAUUAUAAGUUUAAUUAAUCAGCACAUGUCUUGUUAUGUAUACUUAUUGUAUUCACACUAUGAGUUAGAUUGUCACGAGUAUUGACAGGUUUAUUUGAUAUUUUUAAAGUAUAAGUUUAAUCGUCACGUGUUCUGUCAUGUAUGUUUAGUGUUCACAUUAUGAGUCAGUUACAAUGAGUAUUGACAGGUUAAUUUAAUACUUUCAAAUUAUAAGUUUAAUCAUCACGUGUCUUGUCAUGUAAUAUUUUCAUAUUAUAAGUUAAAUCAUCACGAGUAUUAACAGGUUUAUUUAAUAUCUUCAUAUUAUAAGUUUAAUUGUCACAUGUCUUCUCAUGUAUAAAUGUCUAGUAACACUAAAUUUGUUGUGCAUGCGUUACAACUCAUAUAAUAUUGUGCUCACUAAUAUGAGUUAGUUUGUCACGAGUUUAACAAGUUUAUUAAGUAUUUUCAUAGUAUAAAUUUAACUAUCAUGUGUCUUGUCAAGUAUAAAUGUCUAGUAAUACUAAAUUCAUUGUGCAUCCAUUACAACUCUUACAAUAUUGCGCUCACUAGUACACUUUGAGUUAGGCCUAUAAUUAAAUUAUUCUAUAAAAAGAUAUUUAUGCCUUUUAUAAGUUUCAUAUGAAACUAGUUUCUCGACGCGUGCGUCACACGUGUAUGCCUAGUCACACAAUACAAAUUCUGUUAAAUAUUAAUAAUACUCGUUGAAAUAAAAUUGAGUGAACCCUUUAGUACCCCCAUAGUCUAACUUCCUGAGGAUGUCAAAAAUUUCUUAAAAUCGAGUUCAGUGGGGGUAAUAAGACCCCAGCGAAGUUGAAGUUUGUCGUAGCAACUUUGAUCAUAGUUCGAGGAGGUAUUUAAAUGCUUAUCUCAAUAAAAUUUAUAUUAAGAAAAAGUGCACAUUUAUGUAACUAAUCAAUGCAGAUCACCCGUGGAACUAGCCGGAACUCCGCCUUGAAACAGCGGGGGCCGGUGGGUACAGCUAGUCGGGUUCACAAAGCGAUACCCAGAAACACGGAUAUAAAAAAAUAAAAAAUAAAAAUCAAUGCAGAUCAUUAUUUGGUGACAUCUUUAUCGAGAUAAAGAUGACUGAAUGUUCCCUAAUCUAUGAAGAUGAACAAUUAAACUUUUGGAUACAUGUAUUAUUUAUACUAAGCGAAAAAAUAUAUCGUCACCAUUUUUAUUAUAUCAUCAAUUUACAAUUAUCAUAAUAACUUCACAACCGAUCGAUUCAUACCUUUAAGAAUUUCAGUCAUUUUUAGGAAAAUCCUCAUAAAGUAAAAAUUUACAAUUUUACAUAUAUUUUAAAUUAAAUACUUUAUAUUUAUUUAAACUUCUAAAAAAAUCACUAUUAUUUGUAAUCAUUAGCUCUCAUAUCUUAAUUUGUUCUUCUCCCAUUAGUGAUUUCUUUACCUUGAACCUCUUUCAAUUUCUAUUACUUUUAGAACAUAAUCAAUUUUUUUAAUUAUAAUUUGCUAAUAAGUAUACAUUUUUAACCUAAAAAGGUUGUAUGGAUAAAGGAAAAUGAGAUAUAAUAAAAUUAUAAGUUAUUUUUUGUACUUUUAUUAUGAUUAACAUUUCAAUUGAUUUACUAAUCUAGGUAAUAGAAAGAUUCAUUAAAGACGAAAGAUUAAACAAAUGGAAAACUUGAUUUAAUAACAUAGGAAUUUCAUAACAUCUUUUUGUUUUUGGUGGGGUGGGAAAUUUUGGGAGGCCGGGGUGUGGGGGUAAGGGUGUAGGAGGGUGUUCCUAAAAUCUCAAAAAAAAAUGGGAAUGAAGACUAAACAAUAAUUGACUUAACAAUAAAGAUAAAAGUUGAUCAUAUUAAAAGGUGUAACUGGUUAUGUCUCCUCCAACCACAACUUUAUAUUCAAGAACUUCAGUUAUCACCUCUGUGAUAAUUACGAUUUCAAGAACUCAUCUCUUCUAUAUCAAAGGUAACUUCUGAAAUGCCAAAUUGCUCGGCUGGAACAUCACCUUUUAUUUCAUUUUUAAUUUUGUCCAAUCGUAAUUUAUAUACCUCAAAUUGCUUUAACCUAUUCUCCAACAUGUGUUUAUAUGUUGGCAUUUUUGAGUCAAGGUCUUCCUCCUUGAAUGAUUAAAUUUUUACGAAGAUCUUCAAAUGUCUCAAAGACAUUUGUUUUGCUCAUAUCAGUAUGAUUCUGCUGGCUAUCAUUUUGUUUUAAUUCAUGAAACUUAUCAAUUACUUUUUCUAUACUUGGGAAGACAUAGAAAUGUGGUUUUUCAGCUUGUGUAAAAAGAAUAAAACCGACAUCUUCUCCGGUUAGAUUUGAAUACUCUUUCGCUUACUUGCCCAAGCCAUUUUUUCUUUUUGAAAAAGCAAUUGUGCGAGCUUCUUUAGACUCAAUCAACUUCAUUUUGAUCUUUUGCCUACCCUUUCCACCCCUUUUAUCCGUUGUGAAAUAAAUAAUUAGAGAAGAGAAAAGAUGUGUUGGUUGAAUAAGUCUGAGCAAUUUUGAGAGGAUUGCUUGUGUAAUUUAUAGUAGCUAUACAGGUUGGUUUGUCACGAGUAUUGACUCGUUUAUUGAAUAUUUUCAUAUUAUAAGCUUAAUCAUCACUUGUAUUUUCAUGUAUACAUAUUGUAUUCACAUUACGAGUUGAUUUUUCAUGAGUAUUGAACGAUUUAUUUAAUAUUUUUAUAUUAUAAAUUUAAUCAUCGUGUGUUUUAUCAUGUAUGCUUAUUGUGUUCACGUUAUGAGUCUAUUGUCUCGAGUAUUGACAGGUUUAUUUAAUAUUUUCAUAUCAUUAGUUUAAUCAUCACAGGUCUUUUCAUGUAAUAUUUUCAUAUUAUAAGUGUAAUCAUCACACGUCUUGUCAUGUAUACUUUUUGCGUUCACAUUAUGAGUCAGUUUGUCAUGAGUAUUAACAAGUUUAUUGAUAUUUUCAUAUUAUAAGUUUAAUUAAUCGUCAAGUGUCUUGUCAUGUAUACUUAUUAUAUUCACAUUAUGAGUUGGUUUGUCACAAGUAUUGACAGGUUUACUUGAUAUUAUAUUAUAAGUUUAAUCAUCACGUGUUCUGUCAUGUAUGCUUAUUGUGUUCACAUUAUGAGUCUUUUGCAACGAGUAUUGACAGGUUAAUUUAAUACUUUCAAAUUAUAAGUUUAAGCAUCACUUGUCCUAUCAUGUAAUAUUUUCAUAUUAUAAGUUAAAUCAUCACGAGUAUUAACAGGUUUAUUUAAUAUCUUCAUAUUAUAAGUUUAAUUGUCACGUGUCUUCUCAUGUAUAAAUAUCUAGUAACACUAAAUUUGUUGUGCAUGCAUUACAACUCAUAUAAUAUUGUGUUCCCUAAUAUGAGUUGGUUUGUCGCGAGUUUAACAAGUUUAUUAAGUAUGUUCAUAUUGUAAAUUUAACCAUCACGUGUCUUGUCAAGUAUAAAUGUCUAGUAAUACCAAAUUCAUUAUGUAUCCGUUAGAAGUCUUACAAUAUUGCGCUCACUAGUACACUUUGAGUUAGGCCUAUAAUUAAAUUGUUCUAUAAAAAAAUAUUUAUGCCUUUUAUAAGUUUCAUUUGAAACUAGUUUCUCGACGCGUGCGUCACACGUGUAUGCCUAGUCACACAAUACAAAUUCUGUUAAAUAUUAAUAAUACUCGUUGAAAUAAAAUUGAGUGAACCCUUUAGUACCCCCAUAGUCUAACUUCCUGAGGAUCCUAUUCCUCCCCCCACCCCACCCCACCCCCCGCGCUAAAAAAACUCAAUUUUGCAUAUUUUUGUCACUAUUUUGGACUGACAUGACACCUUUUGUCAACCUUUUUAGAUGACGUGACACCUUUGAUGUGGAACCCCAUUUUAUGUUAUAAAGGUGCCAUAUCAGCACAAAAGGGUAUCCAAAAUAUGCUAAAAUUAAGUUCGGUGGGGGUAAUAGGACCCCUGCGAAGUUGAAGUUUGUCAUAAUAACUUUGAUCAUAGUUUGAGGAGGUAUUGAAUGCCUAUCUCAAUAUAAUUUAGAUUAAGAAAAAGUGCACAUUUAUGUAACUAAUCAAUACAGAUCAUUAUUUGGUGACAUCUUUAUCGAGAUAUAGAUGACUAAAUGUUCCCUAAUCUAUGAAGAUGAACAAUUAAACUUUUGGAUACAUGUAUUAUUUAUACUAAGCAAAAAAUAUAUCAUCACCAUUUGUAAGAUACCCCGCAAAAUCUUAUGUUGAUAAUCAGCUCUUUUAACUCCAAAAAGCUUUUUUGAAGGUCCAACACUUAGAACAUUUUAGCUAGGUGUUCAACACUUAAUCUUAUUUUAAGCCUUCAAAGUCGGAGAUUUAUUUGACGUCCUUUUCGACAUUCAUUUUUUAUUUUUCAAGUUGCGUUGUGAUGGGGCAAGUCAAUAGUACAUUCCAGGUGAGUUUCAGAAUUUUCAAAAUCAGUUUAGGGCAUGUUUGGAUUUUGAAACAGUAGCAUCCUGCGAUUAGCAUGCGACGCAUGCUCCAUCUCACAGUCCCUAGCAUGCGAUAGAGCAUGCGACGCAUGCUCCAACUUAGUGUAUUAAGGGUAAAUUGAACUUUUUCCCCACCCUAUAUAUAUAUAUUCAAAAACACGGGAUUAAACCCAUUUUGAACCAAAAUACACUCAAAAUUCUCAAAAUCCUCUCAAGAACACCUUAGGCAUUCAAUUGGGGAUUUAAGUUCAAGAAAUUCAACCACAAACUUUGGGAAAUCAAGAACUAAGGUAUUCAUAGUGUUCAUUCAUGGAUUCCUUUCAUCCGUGAAGCCUAAGAAUCAAGUUUUAAACUAUGAAUUAUGAUAUUCAUGUAAUGGGUUGAUUUUGUUCAUGUGGUUGUUGUUGUAUGAUUCCCAAGUUGAAAUCUUUAUGUGUUGUUCACGAAACAAUGAAAGUAUGUGAAUUAAAACUUGUGCAAUUUAGUUGAAUUAUGGUGUUUUGACGCAUUAAUUGAUAAUCAUACCUAUGCCCUAAGUGGUGCAUGCAAGGAGUUUGAUAAAAUGCCUAAGAUACUAGAAACCAUGCCCAAUAGCUAAAUUAUGACCUAAAUGAUGAAUGCAUGAUAUUCCCUUAUGAUCAAUAUGACUUCCAUGAUAUUAUUGUGCAUUAUGAUAGUUGAUGGAAUGCUCAUGAAACUAGAUUGAUGAACCUAUGACUUUGAUUAUAUGCAUUCCUACCAUGUACAAGAUUAUGAUAAACAUGUGUUCCAUGAAAUCCCAAUUUAUUGUAUUAUGAAUUGUUGAUGAUUGUCAUGUAUUCAAGAAAGUCAUGCUUUGUCAGUUUCCUUCUAUUGAGUCCUUGGGGUACUUGUACCCGAAAAUAUUAUUGUGUGCCUAGAGUCAGUGUCAUGUUGUCACGAUAUCCUUAGUCAAGCCCCGAUCCAUAGAAUUCAGUCAGUCAUGUGACUCAGGAAAGUUCAGAAAUUCAGUAAUCUUAGUAGUAUCUGUCAGUCCUCGAAAAUUAGUUAAAUCAGUUUGGUUCAGUCCAGUUUAAUCAUAUUCAGUGUCUAUUCAUAUGAGAGUAGGAUUUAGCACCGAGCAAACCCAAGGAUGGAAACUCACCUGUUAGUUUAGGGUGUGAUUCUUAGAAGCAAUCCUUGUGUUCCAGAGCUACGUAGCCAGGUAGGUUGAGAUAUCCAACCUGCCAGUUGAGGGUUGAUGAGGUGGAUUAACCUGCCAAUUUUGGGUUCCCACCAUUCUCAUUAGAGUAUCUGCCAGUUGAGGAUCACCCACGGCUUGUCCUUACCGGUGGCGCGGUAUUGAAACUCUUCCAAUUGGGGUUAUAAAUUGGAACGCAACUCAGUUAUAUUACUUAUUUGGGGCAUGUCGGUUUGAUGACUACUUCCCACAGUUUCAGUAACAUUAUCAGUAAAAGAACUUAGAUAGUUCUUCAAAUUUCUGGACUGUCAAAUACAGUCACCUCAACUCAAUAGGGAACUCAGAUAGUUUCAUCAAAUUCAGGCCUGUUAGAUACAGUCACUCAUGUUAUCAGUAUAUCAGUUAUUAGAAUUCAUGUUAUCAGUCAUAUUAGAUAUCAGUAACUCAGGUUAUCAGUAUUCAGAUUCAAAAAUCAUGUUAUUACGAUAUCAGUGUCAGUCAUUAUGUUUUAUGUAUGUGUUCUCACGCUCAUGAUAGUCAGUCUGUUAGUAUUAUUUCUCAUGUAUAUGAACCCCUUGCAUUCAGCCUACCUCACAUGCAUACCAGUACAUUCAAUCGUACUGAUACAUUCGCGCUAUGUGGUUUUAAUACCAUAGGUUCAAAGGCACGAGAUCCAGAGCGUCAGUAGCAGUCCAGUUCCAGCAAUCAGAAUUAGCAGUGAGUCCUCAUCCUUUGAGGACAUGGUUAUUACCUUAUCAUUUCAGUAUUCGAGACUUAGUUUAUUUUAGUAGUUGGAGUUAGUUGGGGACAUGUCCCAUCAACUCCUUAUUCAAAAAGUUAGAGGCUUUUCAGACUAUCAUGUUUCAGAUAGUUUAUUUUAGUUGUGUUGGGUAUUUCAUACCCCAUUAAAAUGUUGUGUUUUAUCAUAUUUGAACCUUAUGGCCUUCCAGUCUUUAUUUCCAUAUUUAUUCAAUAUAUUAUGUAGUGUACAGGUACAGAUAUCAGUCAUGGGUUAGCUUGUGGUUCUUCAGAGUCAUGAGUAUCGUGUAGCACUUUGGGUACCAAAUUUGGCUCGUUAAAAACUUAGUAUCAGACCUAAGAAGUCUGAAAGCAGCAUCUAGUAGAGUCUUGUGCAUGGGUGUUUGCGCGCCACAUUUAUGUACAUGAGGCUAUGAGAUGUUUUAGGAACAAUUUCCCUUAUUUCAGUAUUCAUGUCGUGCCAGUGAGCAUAAUCUCAAGUUAAACUCUCAGUCUAAUCCAUUUCUCCUCUUCAUUUACAGAACAUGCCUCCCAAGAGAAGAAAUCAGCCUGUCCAAGAAGAUUUCUUGGCCAAAAGUAUUUCUCAUGCGAAGUUUAGAGCCGCAUUCACUACUCUUGCUCAGUCAGUUACUGCUCAGAAUGAAUGACCAGUAGUUUUUUCGGCUAACCCAAUGGCCAAUUCAGCUAUAUCUAGGAUUUGGGACUUCACCCGAAUGAACCCUCCAUCCCUUUUUGGGUCUAAGUCAGAUGAGGACCCUUAGGAAUUCAUUGAUCAGGUUCAGAAGUUUACAGACAUCAUGAGGGUGAUUGCCGUUGAGAGUGAUGAGCUAGCUGCAUAUCAGUUGCAGGAUAUAGCUUACACUUGGUUCAAACAGUGGAAGUCAGAGAGGUCAGAUGAUGCAUGUCUUAUAGAGUGGGAGGAGUUUGUCACUGCAUUCUUAGAUAGAUUCUUUCCCCAAGAGCUGAGAGAGGCUAAGGUGCUAGAAUUUAUCAACUUCAGGUAGGGAAACAUGAUGGUGAAAGAGUAUUCUCUUAAGUUACUCAAUUAGCCAGAUAUUCUCCUCAUGUGGUUGCAGAUAGCAGGGCCAAGAUGAGUAAGUUUGUUUCUAGGUGAAUGAUAGUGUGGUGAAUGAGUGUAGGUCUGCGAUAUUGAAAAGUGACAUGACCAUAGCCAGGAUUAUGAAUCGUGCUCAACAAAUAGAAAAUCAGAAGAUUAAGAUGAGAGAGAAGCAGAAUAAAAGAGCAAGGUCAGGUAGUUUUAACUUUGCUCAGCCUAAGUCAGAAGGAGAAAACUGUUCUCAUUUUUGCCCUAAGUCAUUAGUUCCAGCUCUUUCAUCCUCUAGUGCCCCAGUAUCAAAAUUCAGAGACGGCAACAGAGAUAGAACGUCAGGCUCUCAGUCUCAGGGCAGUGUUAGCAGUGCCCGAACUAAUCCUCUUUGUCAGACUUGUGGCAAGCACCAUCAAGGUAUUUGUAGAGCUGGCAGCGACAUUUGUUUCAGAUGUGUCAAGCCAAGACACAGAGUUUGAGAGUGUCCUCAGACAGGUUCUUAUUGUCAGUAGAAUCGUUCUACAACUCAGUCUGGUCGCCCAAACCAGUAGGGCGCCACUUCCAGCACUACAAGUGGGCAAUGCCCAAAUAGACUCUAUGCUCUCCAGACCUGAAAAGAUUAGGAAAAUUCUCCUGGUAUGGUUACUGGUAACGUUACAGAUCUUUCAUGUGCACGUUUAUGCUUUGCUAGAUCCAGGAGCUUUCUUUUCUUUUAUUACUUCUUAUAUAGCAGUUGAUUUUGGAGUGAGUCACGAAAUUUUAGCAGAGCCCUUCUCAGUAUCUACCCCAGUAGGUAAGACCAUUAUUGCUCGGUGGGUAUACCAGAACUGCCCGGUCAUGAUAUUUUAGAAAGCCACUUCAGCAGACUUAGUCGAAUUAGAGAUGACUGGUUUCGAUGUCAUUCUCAUCAUGGAUUGGCUUUAUUCCUGUUAUGCCACAGUCGAUUGCAAAAAUAGAAUUAUUCAGUUUCAGUUCCCAAAUGAACCCAUCUUAGAGUGGAGGGGUAGUACUUCAGCUUUUAGAGGUCAGCUUAUUUUUUACCUUCGGGCACGGAAAAUAAUAUCUAAGGGAUGUGUCUAUCAUCUUAUUCAUGUUAAGGACACUAGUUCCGAAACUUCCAGUCUUAAAUCGUCCUAGUGGUUAAUAAAUAUUCAAAUGUCUUUCUUGAAGAUCUCUCAUGAAUUUCUCUCGAAAGGGAAAUAGACUUCGGCAUUAAUCUUCUUCCAGAUACUCAGCUCAUAUCUAUUCUGCCAUACAGAAUGGUACCAACAGAACUCAGAGAGAUGAAAGAACAGUUGAAGGACCUCCUAGAUAAGGGAUUCAUCAGGCCUAGUGUUUCCCCAUGGGGUGCACCAGUCUUGUUCGUGCGCAAGAAAGACGGUUCUCUCAGGAUGUGUAUUGAUUAUCAUCAUCUCAAUAGGUCACGAUCAAGAACAAGUAUCAUUUUUCCAGAAUCAAUGACUUAUUUCACCGACUUCAAGGUGAUAGUUACUUCUCCAAAAUAGACCUCAGAUCGGGCUAUCAUCAGCUCAGAGUCAGAGAAAGUGAUAUUCCAAAAAUAGCUUUUCGUACUCAGUACGGUCACUUUGAAUUCCUAGUUAUGUCCUUUGGCCUUACCAAUUCCACAGUAGCUUUCAUGGACUUGAUGAACCGUGUGUUCAAGCAGUACGUGGACAUAUUUGUCAUAGUCUUCAUAAAUGAUAUUUUGGUCUAUUCUCGCACUGAGCGAGAUCAUGCAGACCAUCUCAGAAUAGCACAUCAGACUCUCAAAGACCAUCAGCUAUUCACUAAAUACAUUAAGUUCGAGUUUUGGAUAAGGUAUGUAGCAUUCCUUGGUCAUAUAAUUUUCGUGAUGGCAUUAGAGUCGAUUCUCAAAAGACCGAAGCAGUAAGAAAUUGGCCUUGCCCCAUCUCUUCAUCAGAUAUAAGGAGUUUCUUAGGUUUGGAUGGCCAUUAUAGAUGGUUUGUUGGAGGAUUUUCAUCCAUUGUGUCCCCUAUGUCCAGAUUGACUCAGAAGAAAGUCAAAUUUCAGUGGUCAGAUCUUUGCGAGAAUAUUUUUCAGGAGUUGAAGACUAGACUCACUUUAGCUCUAGUUUUAGAUCCUCCAGAUAGUCUAGAUGGCUUUGUAUUUUAUUGUGAUGCAUCCAUAGUAGGUUUGGGUUGUGUCCUCAUGCAGCAUAGUAAGGUCAUAGCUUAGGCCUCCAGAUAGCUUAAGUCCCAUGAGAAGAAAUAUCCUACUCAUGGUCUUGAGUUAGUAGUCGUAGUAUUUGCCUUAAAGAUUUAGAGGCAUUAUCUAUACGUAGUUCAUGUAGAUGUGUUCAUAGACCAUAUGAGCCUUCAGUAUGUCUUUUCUCAAAAAGACCUCAAUCUUUAUCAGAGGAGGUGGUUAGAGAUAUUGAAAGAUUAUAACAUGAGUGUCUUUUAUCACUCGGGCAAGGCCAAUAUAGUGGCCAACGCUCUCAGUAGACUAUCUAUGGGUAGUGUUUCUCAUGUUGAGGACAGUAAGAAGAAGUUAGCUCAGGAAGUCCAUCAACUUAUCAGACUAGGUUUUCGCUUAGUCGAUACAACAUAGGGUGAUAUAUGGGUUCAGAGUAGUUCGGGAUCAUCUCUAGUGUUCGAGGUGAAAGAAAAGCAAGAUAGAGAUCCCAGCUUUGUCAAGAUAAAAGAGUCAGUCAAGGACCAGAAAAUAGAGGUUUUCUCCUAAGGGGGAGAUGGUGUCUUGCGUUGUCAGGGUCGUCUCUGUGUCCCAGGUAUAGAUGAAUUAAGGUAGCGAAUUCUGGCAGAAACGCAUGGUGCAUGAUACUCUAUUCAUCCAGGGGCUACUAAAAUAUACUGCGACUUACGGGAGAUCUAUUAGUGGAGUGGGAUGAAGAGAGAUGUUGCAGAGUUUGUGGCUAAGUGCUUUACAUAGAGUAUCAGAAGCUUAGUGGUCCCAUGUAGGAGUUCAUUAUUCCCACCUGGAAAUGGAAAGAAGUGAACAUAAACUUCGUGACGGGUUUUCCUCGAACUCAUAAUCAGCAUGAUUCAGUUUGGGUCAUUAUAGACAGGAUGACCAAAUCAGCUCAUGUCCUUCCAGUUCAUACCUCUUAUUUAACUGAGGAUUAUGCCAAACUUUAUAUCAGGGAGUUGGUCAGAUUGCACGGUGUUCCAUCAUCUAUUAUUUCAGACAGAGGUACCAGUUUACUUCUCACUUUUGGAAAGCGUUCCAAAAGGGUCUUAGUACCCAAGUCCAUAUCAGUACAUCCUUUCAUCCUCAGAUAGAUGGUCAAGCAGAAAGGACCAUUCAUACCCUAGAAGAUAUGCUACAAGAGUGUGCAAUUGAUUUCAAGGGUAGUUGGGAUGACCACUUGCCUUUGAUUGAGUUUGCAUACAACAACAACUAUCAUUCCAGUAUUAAGAUAGCUCCAUUCGAAACUCUCUAUAGUAGGAAGUGCAGAUCUCCAGUUGGGUGAUUUGAGAUUAGUAAGGCCUCAGUUAUAGGGCCUUACUUAGUAUUCAACGCCUUAAAAAAGUCCAGUUGAUCAGAUAAAGACUUCGGGUUGCUCAAAGCCUACAGAAGUCUUAUGCAGAUGUGCGCAGAAAGGAUCUCAAGCUUGAGAUAAGUGAUUUUUUCUAUCUAAAGAUCUCUCCCAUGAAGGGAGUGAAGAGAUUCGGCAAGAAAGGAAAGCUCAGUCCCCAAUAUGUCGUUCCCUUCAAGAUUCUCAAUCAUUUCGACAAGGUAGAUUAUGAGCUCGAGUUGCCUUCAGAUCUAGCCUCAGUUCAUCCAAUCUUUCAUAUCUCCUUGCUCAAGAUGUGUAUAGGUGACCUAUCAGUCGUAGUCCCUAUUCAGAGCAUAGAUGUUCAGAACAACCUCUUUUAUGAAGAGAUUCCAGUCAAAAUUCUAGACUAUUAAACUCAUAGACUGAGGAAUAAAGAAGUCCCUAUAGUCAAAGUUCUUUGGCGAAAUCAGUCCAUUGCGGGAGCUACUUGGGAAGCAGAAGUAGAUGUGUAAAGUACCCUUACCUCUUCUCUGCCAACUCAGACCAAGCUCAAGGUAACAGUUCUCCUUAAGUUUAUUUAGUUUCAUGUUCAGAAUCCCAUUAUAAAUUUGGUAUAAUACACCAUUGCAUAUUCAGUCACGCAUUCAUAUGUCAGUUCAAUUAUAUAAUCAUAUAUCAGAUAUGCAUUCUCAUUUUGAGAACCUCAGUUAUCAGGAAUUUCAAUCAUGUAUUCAUGAAUCAGUUAUCCAUGCAUCAGAUAUGCAUGUUCAGAAUUCAGUCAUGUCAGCCAUGAAAUUAUGUUCAGUUGUUUAUGCUUAGUAUUCACGUCAGUUAUCUUUUCUCCCCUCUUGUUCAGUCCCAUUCGGGGACGAAUGUUCCCAAGGGGGAGAUAUUGUAAGACCCCGCAAAAUCUUAUGUUGAUAAUCAGCUCUUUUAGCUCCUAAAAGCUCUUUAGAAGGUCCAACACUUAGAAUAUCUUAGCUAGGUAAGUUAAAUCAUCACGAGUAUUAACAGGUUUAUUUAAUAUCUUCAUAUUAUAAAUUUAACUGUCACGUGUCUUCUUAUGUAUAAAUGUCUGGUAACACUAAAUUUGGUGUGCAUGUGUUACAAAUCAUAUAAUAUUGUGUUCAAUAAUAUGAGUUGGUUUGUCACGAGUUUAACAAGUUUAUUAUGUAUUUUCAUAUUGUAAAUUUAACCAUCACGUGUCUUGUCAAGUAUAAAUGUCUAGUAAUACUAAAUUCAUUGUGCAUCCGUUACAACUCUUACAAUAUUGCGCUCACUAGUACACUUUGAGUUAUGCCUAUAAUUAAAUCUAUAAAAAAAAUAUUUAUGCCUUUUAUAAGUUUCAUAUGAAACUAGUUUCUCGACGCAUGCGUCACACGUGUAUGCCUAGUCACGCAAUACAAAUUCUGUUAAAUAUUAAUAAUACUCGUUGAUAUAAAAUUGAGUGAAAUAUCUAGUACCCCCAUAGUCUAACUUCCCGGGGAUCCUAUCCCCCCCUCCCCCUCCAACCUCAAUUCUGCGUAUUUUGUCACCAUUUUUUUACUGACAUGGCACCUUUUGUGAACCAUUUUAGAUGAUGUGACACCUUUGAUAUGGGACCUCAUUUUAUUUUAUAAAGGUGUCACUCAGCACAAAAGGGUGUCAAAAAUAUUCUAAAAUUGAGUUCGGUGGGGUAAUAGGACCCCUGCGAAGUUGAAGUUUGUUGUAACAACUUUGAUCAUAGUUCGAGGAGGUAUUGAAUGUUUAUCUCAAUAAAAUUUAGAUUAAGCAAAAUUGCACAUUUAUGUAACUAAUCAAUGCAGAUCAUUAUUUGGUGACAUCUUUAUCUAAUCAAUGCAGAUCAUUAUUUGGUGACAUCUUUAUCGAGAUAAAGAUGACUGAAUGUUGCCUAAUCUAUGAAGAUGAACAAUUAAACUUUCGGAUACACGUAUUAUUUAUACUAAGCAAAAGAUAUAUCGUCACCAUUUUUAUUAUAUCGUCAAUUUACAAUUAUCAUAACAACUUCACAACCAAUCGAUUCAUACUUUUAAGAAUUUCAGUCAUUUUUAGGAAAAUCCUCAUAUUAUAUAUAUAUAUAUAUAUAUUAUAUAUAUAUUAAUUCGUUCUUCUCCCAUUAGUGAUUUCUUUACCUUGAACCUCUUCCAAUUGCUAGUACUUUUAGAACAUAAUCAAUUUUUUAAUUAUAAUUUGCUAAUUAGUAUAUGUUAUAAACCUAAAAAGGUUUUAUGGGUAAAGGAAAAUAAGAUAUAGUAAAAUUAUAAGUUAGUUUUUUAGUUUUUGUACUUUUAUUAUGACUAGUCUAACAGCACGUGCCUCGCACGUGUAACAUUUGAUUAUUUAAAAUUAAAUAAUUAUAUUUAUUGCGAAAAUUUUUAAUAAAGUGUAAAAGUUCAAAGCACUUUUCAAAAAUCUUUCAUACUUUAAUAUAAUAAUGUAAACAUAAACAUAUAUACAUAUAUAUUUUGCCACCAGAAGUCCAAGUGAUUGAUGGAACAUUAUUUUUGCAUUUGCAAUCUAGUACGUCUUUCCGUUGUUGCCAUAUACUAAGAGAGACGCAUCAAUUUGAAUCAUAUUUGCAUUAUGAUUAUUUUUAUUUUUGUUUAUAAUUAAAAUCUUUCCUUAUGUUUAAAGUUAGAUCUUUAUAAAAUAUUAAUUGCAUUCUUACUCCGUACUUAAAUUUUUUAAAAGCUGGUACUUCUUAAACUUUUCUUAUUCUAAUGGUUUUAUAUUUAUUUAUAGAUUUUUCAAAUCUUCUUAAAAUCAAAUUUAGUUGACUUGGAAUUUUUAAUCUAAUGAAAAAGUAUUAAUUGUCAUUAAUUUUGAUGACUUUUAAUAAGAAAAGAUUUUACCAAUAUUUAAUUCAUUUUCAACUCUUAAAUUAGGAAAAAAAUAGUGAAAUUCUGAUGACUUCUAAUAAAAUAGAUUUUUGCUAUAAAUAUAUUUAAUUAGUUUUCAACUCUUAAGUAUUAGGAAAAUAUAGUGAAAAGACGAUUUUGUCUAAAACAAAGACUUUUAAUGAAGGACAAAAAGUUCAAACAAUAUUUCGAAGGCCCUUCACACUUACUCUUUAAUAUAAUAAUAUAAAUAUAAAUAAAUAUUUUACAUCAUCACUUUUGUGUUUGUUAUAUAUAUAUAUAUAUAUAUAUUACAUCAUCACUUUUGCGUUUGUCAUGCUACCUCUUUCCCAGAGACGCUUUAACUUGAAUCAUACUUGUGGUACGGUUAUUUUUUAUAUGUUUAAAAUUUUUUCUUGUUUUUAAAGUCAAAUCUUUACAAAAUCAUUAAUUAUAUUCUUACUACUUACUUAAAACUUUUAAAUAUUUGGUACUUCUUAAAUUUUUCUUAUUCUAACGCUUUUAUAUUUAUUUCUAGAUUUUUCAAAUCUUCUUGAACUCAAAUUUAAUUAAUUUAGAAUUUUUAAACUAAUAAAAAAAUUAUUAGUUGUCAUUAAUGUUGAUGACUUCUAAUAAACCAUAAAUAUAUUUAAUUAAUUUUCAAUUCAUAAAUAUUAGAAAAAAUAGUGAAAGGCGUUUUUGUAUAAAACAAAGAUUUUUAAUCAAGAAUAAAAAAUUCAAACAACAUUUCUAUAGCCCUUUACACUUUUAAUAUAUAUUAGAUAUAGAUAUAUAUAUAUAGAUAGAUAGAUUAUAGAUUAUAGAUUUAUAGAUUAUAGAUAAUUAAAAAAAUAACACACAAUGUAACGCUCUAUCCCGCAAUCUCAUUUAAAUAAUCAAAGUAAUUAAAAUAUAUAUUGCACAUUUUCCAGCACCCUAAAGACCGUUUUUAGCUAAAAACAUGGCUUUGGAGAAUCCUUUUUUUCUUUUUCUUUUUAUCUUGCAUUAAUAUGCUACACAUGAAAUAGGCUGGGUUUUCUGCAUAUAUUUUUCACAAAUUAAACUUCAUCACAUACAAUCGAGUAUAUUUCUUUUUUGAAAAGAAAAUAAAAGAUUAACCAAUUCAUUCCUGAUCAUCAAAAAGAAAUAGCAUCCCUUGCGAUAUAGAGGAGGAAUGUAGCAGGUAAGUAUACAUCUUAAGAAUUAGAAGGAACAAAACCUGUAUCAAAUCAUGAUUUAGUUAUAGUAACGUAGUUGUAAGGCACUUAAUACCUCAAUAUAAAAAAUAUAAAACAUGACUCUUACAAUUACAAUUUAGAACACAUAAACUGAUCACUUACCUUAUCAAAAAGAUUUUUAGCACUAACCUUAUUUUCCACAAUUAAUUCAAGAUCUUCUCCAAUUGAGAAGUUUGAUGUCUUUCUUUCCCCGAAUAUCUAUCACAAAUAGAGAAGAUAAAUAGUAAAACACAUAAAAUUAAUUUUUUAAAAUGAUAAAAUAAAAACUAUUCAUAAAACACUUCAGAAAGAUAUCAAGAAAAUAAAAACAAAACUAAAGUCUUAGAUGUAGCAUCAAUCCUAAAAAAUGGUAAAAUAAAAUUACAUGAAUCUAUAUUAUUAACUAAAGCGAAGCAAAAGUGAGUUGAUGAAAUGAAAUUGGCAUACAAGAAAACCUUUAGGACAAAGCCUAUUUUAGUUGGAAAAUGAUUCUAUUGACCCAUUUUGGGGGUCUAUAUCUAUAUUUUUUUGGGGGGGGGGGGGAACAAGUCUAUUAGUUAGAAAAGGAUUUUGCCUAUUUUUUGGGACUUAAUGCUGCUGCACGUACAAAAAACAAAAGUAAAAACAAAGGCACGGAAUUUAAUCAUCAUACCAUAAACUUAGUAAUUUAACAGAAAAAAAUAUUAUUUUAAUGAAUUAAGGAAAUAUUUUAUCAUAAAUAUAUUUAAUUAAUUUAUAAUUUUUAAAUAUUAGAAAAAAUAGUGAAAAGACAAUUUUGUCUAAGACAAAGACUUUUAACGAAGGUCAAAAAGUUCAAACGCUAUUUCUAAGACCCUUUACACUUUUAAUAUAUUAUAGAUAUAGAUUAUAGAUUAUAGAUUAACAUUUCAAUUGAUUUACUAAUCUAGAUAAUAGAAAGCUUCAUUAAAGACGAAAGAUGAAACAAAGAGAAAACUUGAUUUAAUAACAUAGGAAUUUCAUAACCUUUUUUUGUUUUUGGAACAAAGAUAAAAGUUCAUCAUAUUAAAAGGUGUAACUGGUCAAGUCUCCUCUAGUCACAACUUUAUAUUCAAGAACUUCAAUUAUCACCUCCGUGAUAAUUAUGAGUUCAAGAACUCAUCUCUUCUAGAUCAAGGGCAACUUCUGAAAUGAACUUGAAUUGCUCGGCUUGAACAUCACCUUUUAUUUCAUUUUUAAUUUUGUCCAACCGUAAUUUAUAUGCCUCAAAUUGCUUCAACUUGUUCUCCAAUAUGUGUUUAUCUGUUGGCAGUUCUGAGCCAAGGUCUUUCUCCUUGAAUGCUUGUACUUCUUUACGAAGAUCUUCAAAUGCCUCAAAGACAUUUGUUUUGCUCAUAUCAGUAUGAUUCUGUUGGCUAUCGUUUUGUUUUAAUUCAUGAAACUUAUCAAUUAUUUUUUCUAUACUUGGGGAGCCAUAGGAAUGUGGUUUUCCAGCUUGUGUAAAGAGAAUAAAACCGACAUCUGCUCCGGUAAGAUUUGAAUAGUCUUUUGCUUUCUUGCUCAAGCCAUUUUUUCUUUUUGAAAAAGCAACUGUGCGAGCUUCUUUAGACUCAAUCAAAUUCAUUUCGAUCUUUUGCCUACCCUUUCCACCCCUUUUAUCCAUUGCGAAAUAAAUAAUUAGAGAAGAGAAAAGAUGUGUUGGUUGAAUAAGUCUGAGCAAAGUAGCUAUACAAGUUGGUUUGUCACGAGUAUUAACACGUUUAUUGAAUAUUUUAAUAUUAUAAGUUUAACCAUCACAUGUAUUGUUGUGUAUAUUUAUUGUGUUCACAUUACGAGUUGAUUUGUCACGAGUAUUGACAGGUUUAUUUAAUAUUUUUAUAUUAUAAAUUUAAUCGUCAUGUGUUUUGUCAUGUAUGCUUAUUGUGUUCACAUAAUGAGUCUGUUGUCACGAGUAUUGACAGGUUUAUUUAAUAUUUUCGUAUCAUUAGUUUAAUCAUCACAUGUCUUGUCAUGUAAUAUUUUCAUAUUAUAAGUUUAAUCAUCACGCGUCUUGUCAUAUAUACUUUUUGCGUUCACAUUAUGAGUUUGUCAUAAGUAUUAACAAGUUUAUUGAUAUUUUCAUAUCAUAAGUUUAAUUAAUCAUCAAGUGUCUUGUCAUGUAUAUUUAUUGUGUUCACAUUUUGAGUUGGUUUGUCACGAGUAUUGACAGGUUUAUUUGAUAUUUUUAUCUCAUAAGUUUAAUCGUCACGUGUUCUGUCAUGUUUGCUUAUUGUAUUCACAUUAUGAGUUUGUUGCAUCGAGUAUUGAUAGGUUAAUUUAAUACUUUCAAAUUAUAAGUUUAAUCAUCACGUGUCUUGUCAUGUAUUAUUUUCAUAUUAUAAGUUAAAUCAUCACGAGUAUAAACAGGUUUAUUUAAUAUCUUCAUAGUAUAUGUUUAAUUGUCACAUGUCUUCUCAUGUAUAAAUGUCUAGUAACACUAAAUUCGUUGUGCAUGUGUUACAACUCAUACAAUAUUGUGUUCACUAAUAUGAGUUGGUUUGUCACGAGUUUAACAAGUUUAAGUAUUUUCAUAUUAUAAAUUUAACAAUCACGUGUCUUGUCAAGUAUAAAUGUCGACUAAUACUAAGUUCAUUGUGCAUCUGUUUCAACUCUUACAACUUUGCGUUCACUAGUACACUUUGAGUUAGGCCUAUAAUUAAAUUAUUCUAUAAAAAAUAUUUAUGCCUUUUAUAAGUUUCAUAUGAAACUAGUUUCUCGAUGCGUGCGUCACACGUGUAUGCCUAGUCACGCAAUACAAAUUCUGUUAAAUAUUAAUAAUACUCGUUGAAAUAAAAUUAAGUGAAACCUCUAGUACUCCUGAACUAUGAUUAAAUUUGCUACGACACACUCAAACUUUAUAGGGGUUCUAUUACCCCCUCCCCCCCCCCCCCCCCCUCCCACAAAAAAAAAACCCUCUAUUUUGCGUAUUUUUGUCUUCACAUUACGAGUUGAGUUUCCACGAGUAUUGACAGGUUUAUUUGAUAUUUUUAUAUUAAAAAUUUAAUCGUCACGUGUUCUGUCAUGUAUGCUUAUUGUGUUUACAUUAUGAGUCUGUUGUCUCGAGUUUUGACAGGUUUAUUUAAUAUUUUCAUAUUAUAAAUUUAAUCAUCACGUUUCUUGUCAUGUAAUAUUAUCAUAUUAUAAGUUUAAUCAUCUCACGUCUUAUCAUGUAUACUUUUUGUGUUUACAUUAUGAGUCGGUUUGUCACGAGUAUUAAUAAUUUUAUUUAUAUUUUCAUAUUAUAAGUUUAAUCGUCACGUGUCUUGUCAUGUAUACUUAUUGUGUUCACAUAUUAUGAGUUGGUUUGUCACGAGUAUUGACAUGUUUAUUUAAUCUUUUUUAUAUUAUAAGUUUAAUCGUCACAUGUUUUGUCAUGUAUGCUAUUGUGUUCAUAUGAUGAGUCUGUUGUCACGAGUAUUGACAAAUUAAUUUAAAACUUUCAUAUUAUAAGUUUAAUCAUCACGCGUCUUGUCAUGUAUACUUGUUGUGUUCACGUUAUGAAUCGGGUUGUCACGAGUAUUAACGGAUUUAUUUAAUGUUUUCAUAUUAUGAAUUUAAUCAUCACGUCUCUUGUGAUGUAUUAAUGUCUAAUAACACUAAAUUCAUUAUGUAUGCAUUACAACUCAUAUAAUGUUAUGCUCACUAAUAUGAAUCAGUUUGUCACGAGUAUUAACAGGUUUAUUUUAAAAAAAUUAUAUUAUAAAUUUAAUCAUCACGUAUCUUGUUAUAUAUAAAUAUCUAGUAACACUAAUUUCAUUGUGCAUGCCUUACAACUUAUAUAACAUUGUGGUCACUAGUAACUUUAAGUUAGGCCAGUAAUUAAAUUAUUAUUCUAUAAAAAUAUUUAUAUCUUUUAUAUGUUUCAUAUGAAAUAUGCAAGGUAUGAUUUAACACUGAUCCAUUUUAUAUAAAAUAUGCACGAUAUGAUUUAACACUGAUCCAUUUCGAUACAACAACUUAGAUUGCAACAUUUGGUGGCUUAACUUAUUCUUAUUUCUUUGUUUUUAUUCUUCUAUCUUUGUUUAAAAAUCAUUAAAAUCAAACCUAAUUUUCAAUUGAAUGGUUAAUAUUUAUUGCAAUGAUUUUUAACUUAUUAUUAUUUGACUUGAUGAUUUAUUAAAAACAUCCUUUCUAUAAUCGUAAGUUAAAAAUAAGAUUACAUAUACACCAUUCUUUUUAGAUCUCACUGAUAAAAUUAUACUAAAUAUAUUAUUUUCAUAAAUAAUUAGAGACCAAAUUCAUCAUAGGAGAAAACAUAAGUAAAUGAAACACUACUCGAACCUCCAGGAAUAAAAAGAUAAAUAUAUUACUAUAAUUAUAAUUAUUUUAUUACUAUUGAGAACAAUUCACAAAAUGAAUAAAAUUAAAGAAUUAAUUAGUUGACAAAAAAAUGUUCCUAAAAAAGUUUAAGCAUCUGAGGGGGCAUUUCAAUGACGUCCAUUAACAAAGCUCUUGGCUAGAAACUUAUGGGCUGAAUCAUAAUCCAAUUCACGGGCCCAUGAUAGGCUCAUUACAGCUGCUGCUCCUGGGCCUGAACAUUUGUAUACUCCAAAAAAUGUAGUCCUGGAAUUGUCAUAAAGCCCAAAUCCACGUUAAGAUAUUCGAAGCCCAAAAAGCAAUUUGCUUGAAAAAGGGGAGACUAACACAAAUAGUCAAUUUUGGAAUCAUUAUUUAAGUCGUAGUCACAGAGUAAAAAAAUUUAGGGCAAAAUUCAGAAAUAACAUAUUUAUUCCCUUAAUUAUGAGUUUCAUAGCAACACUUUCAUAAUUACAUAAUAUAACAAGUUGUAUUUUGAAUUUUUGUAAACUGUUGCUACAAAAAUACAACCUGCCCUUAUGAUCGAUAUGUAUUUUGUAUUUUUGCAAACUGUUGCUACAAAAAUACAAAUACAUACAAAUACAUAUGCCACAAAAUGUAAUUUGAUUAAAGUAUUAUUGUUUUUUGUAAUUUAAUACUUAAAUAUGCUACUUUAUGUAUUUUUUCCAAAAAUUUAAGUACAACCAUUUUGAAGUUGAACCAAAUUCAGGCAUACGUGAUUGAAAUUGUAGAAAAUUGUGUAUGAAUUUCUUCUUUUAAUAUUUUCAUCUGAAGCUUAUUUGCUGAGGUCAAACUUCAAAUAUUUAUUAGGCAGGUCAAACUUUAUCACAUAUUUGAGUUUUUUUUUGUUUUUGAACUACCAAUAUUUAUUGUUGUCGAUGUUUACAAGUUUUCUAAUAAUACCUACUUGAUUUUACACCUCCUCUCUCUCCCUCCCUUUUUUUUUGUUCCUAUAUAUAUUUAUAUGUCUGAGCCCCCAUCCACUCCAUCCCCACCCAAAAUAUAUUUCGCUCCUAAGAGCCGCUAUAACUAUCCAAGAACCACCUUGUUUUUUCGUAAAAAAAAAAAAAGAGUGAAAGCAAUAAACUCAAUUUUCAUAUUUGAAAUAUAAGAAUCAAUUUGUCAAGUUUGCACCUAUAGUCAUUUAAUCAUCAAAAUUCAUAACUAACUACAGACGCAAUAAAAUUGAAAAAUAUAAUUGGGUCUGAAAUGUAUUGCACAAAUAAGAUACCUUGGUGUAUGAUAGAAGAGUCUUACUAAUCAUCCCAACCAUCAUGAGCCACAACAUUAUCAAAGUAUGUGUACGAAUAGACAAUUCUAAAAUACUGAUCCAGAACCACUACAACCCAAGAAUGCAAAUUCAAUGUUCUCAUCUGGAGAUCUUCUAUCUAGGCUGUAAUGGAUCCAAAUCUCGUGGCUAUUGAAUGCAACUCACAGCCUUAUGCUAAUAAAAGCAAUUUAGCACAUUUCUCUUUUGAUAGUAAAUUUCACAAAUAGUCAUAUUUUAAUUCCUUGAAAAAAAUAGUUACUCCCUCUCUUUAAAAAAAGAAUAAUUUAUUUUAAUUUUGAUACGAAAUUUAACAAAAAAAAAAUGGUUUUUAAAUUUUAUAAUCUUUAAGUAAAAGACAUAUCAAAUAUACUAAAAUAUUUCUUAAUCUCGUGGUCUUAGUCAUGCCAUGCCAAGCGAGAAAGUUACAAUUAAAGAAUUAUUAAAAAGGUAAUUAGUUUUUUUUUUUUUCUUUUCUAUAGCCCAAAUAUAAAACACCCAAAAAAAAAAAAGGAAACACUUGAAAACAGUAAACACUAAACUAACUACAAAUGAAAAUAUGCUCGAUUAGGAAAUUGAAACGCUACUGGAGCACCACUUGGAAGAAGACAACCGAGGAUAAUUGAUGAGCCAGCUUCUCGACGCCAAAAUAUAGAAGAAACACAAGCAAUCGUUGCCCCUAGCCACAGAUUCGACAUGAAAAAACAACUCAAAGGGCUUGGAAUGAUUUCAUCCAAGACGCUUACAAGUUCACAAGUGCCAUGAAAUCAAUACUAAGGAAGACUUCUUCAGCUCUUUGUUGGAUUUCAAGCCAAAUCUGCUUAUAUUAGGUAACAAUAAUUUGCGAUAUCACACUAGAUCUUGAAAAUUUCUUAAAAUUUGAGUCGUUAACUAUUGUUCCUUUCCAACAGAUUGAGCCUCGAGGCAAAGCUAAUACCACUGUUAGGAGAGGGGCUAUAGCUAAUUCAUCAUUUUUUCAAGAAAUAGUUGUCAAUCCCUAGCUGGUAAUAUUACAUUGGUACCCUUAUAUCUUGCUAUUCGCCAUAUUCUUCUGUUGUCAUAAUUUGGUUGAUCAUUGUUGGUUGUUAUUGCAUUUACUGGUUCUGCAAUUAUGAUUGCUCAUGACGCAGUAUUAGUUGUUGCUCUGUUUGUGUUGCUGCAUCGUACCAUUUAUUUUGACACUUCUGUACUCUGAGAUUAGGAAUUUGCAUUUUUUCCAUAUUGAUAAUCUUUCUUCCUUGUGACGGAACCUCCUGGAAAUUGUAAAAUCUUAGGGAACCUGCAAAAUGAACACCCAGGUUAGCGAAAAAAUCAGCAAGCGGAGGAAGUGUUAUUUUAGAGUUUAUUACUUCUGUGUUACGUAUUCUAGAAAAUGUAGUUUAUUGGGUUCUGAAUUAUACAUGUUAAAGAAAUAUUUCAAUAUACAUAUGUCGUACCCUGACACAAACAUAUAUCCCGCCCAGGAUUGUUGAUUUGUAAUAGAGGCGGAUCAGAAUUUAAAUUUUCUAGGUUCAACUUCUGAGGUCCUUAGCAGUAACCCUAUCGUACUUUUAACAUACGGACUCAUAACUACUUCUUAGUGUAACUUUAGCGAAUUUUCACACAAAUAUGUAUAUUUCUUGUCGAAAAUAUGAGUUCAUGUAUAUUUCGUGCCGAAAAUACUAAGUUCACAUGAAUCCAAUACCGACGACAAAGUUCUACUAUUUACUGGCAAGAGAAUUAAUAUCAUGUUCAUUCUUUGGAGAGAUAAUUAAUAUUUCCUUUUAACUACAUUUUUCACACAUUUAAAAAUAUAUUUUCUAUAACUAUAAUACAUAUUAUCUGGUUUUUAAAUACUGUUUUUUUUUUUUUUUGCUAACUGAAGCAUUUAAUUGAUAAUAGAAGAAGUUUCAAAUUCAUUGUGGAGUUGAAAACAUAAGCAUACUUUAAGAGAAUGUUAAAGAAUCUGCAAUCGGGGACCUAGUUAUUUUAUACAUAAACAGUGAAUUAGUAUCACAGUUUACUGGUAAAGUUACUACCAUGUGACCAGGUCACGGGUUCAAGCCUUGGAAAUGCAAGGUAAGGCUGCGUACAAUACUCCCCUGUGGUGGGGCCCUUCCCCGGACACCGUGCAUAGCGGUAGCUUUAGUGCACUGGGCUGCCCUUUAGUAUCAUAGUUUACUGCAUAAGCACUCAAUAUUCUACAAACUUUACUAAUCUCUAAUUAGGCGUGAGCAUUUAAAUAAUGGAAAAAGUAAUCCUCCUUUUGUUCAAACUGCAGACAUCAACAGACAGAUUCCAGCUUUAUCAAAUCUGCGCAAAUUAUCUCACUUUUUUGAAAAAUUUCUUGUUACUGUUAGUACUAUUAUUAUCUAUCUUUUCAAUGCAACCUAAUAUUUUAAACCAAAUUGUUUACUUUAUGCUUACCGUAACUUUAAAAGAUUGUUCAAGACCACGUACAACUCGUUACAUGCGCACCUUAUACAUAGAGCGACCGUUAUAAGACAUGUUACAUGUAUACGUACCUUAUACAUAGAGCGGCCAUUGCCAAAAAUGAAGUUAAUAGAACCCUCAAUGUAACAUUCUUUGAAGUAAUGGCGACCAGCGUUGUCACAGAGAGUGUCUUGUGCGCCAAAGAAUCCACAGCCGGAGAAAUACGCCUUGUCGCCGGAGAUCCGAAAUGCCAUUUCUUGCCAUCUUUGCAUCCCCGGUAAUGGUGCUGGUGCUGUGUUCUACCAAAAAAAAAAAAAAUCUUUUCAAUUUUUUAACAAUUUUAAUAUUGUGAUGGCAUUUCAACUUCAUAUUACACUUUACAUUACAUUACACUUAUAUAUAAGUGAAGGUUUGAUUGCACUACCAAGGAUAGUUUCGUAAAUAAUAUCGAUAAUAAUGGCAAAUGUGUAUUUUUACAUGUGUCUUUUCCACUUCACACUAUUUUCUCCCUUUGAUUUUUACUUUCCCUAUUCAUUUCUUUCCCUUCCAUUUCUUCUUUCAGCAUAAUUACCAAAACACCCAAAACAUUCUUCAAAAAAAUUCUCAAAUUUUUUCUCCAGCUAAUCUUCAAAGAGCUUUACUAAAAUUCCUGUAUAUACAACUGUAGUAAAGUUCGUGUAUGAAUAUAUAAAGUUAUCUGAGUUUUGCUUUUGCUGUUUACAAAAUAACGAUUUGUGUUGUUAAUCUUUCAAGCACCUGGUACAGUCUUAUUUCUCUUUUAUUUUAUUUUUUUGGUGAAUUUUGUUAUUUUUUUUGAAGUUGUAUGUGUUUAUAUAUAUUGCAUGUAUCUGGGUUUUAAGUUGGGUACAAGUUUUCUCGAUUUUGAUUAAUAAUAUGCAUCUGUGUUUUGAUUUUUGUGGUUGCACGUGUCAUGAACAAAGACUAUAUAGACAAUGAUAUUUUUCCCUAUUUUUUCAUAAUUUUUCCUUUGGACCAGUUACCAGCUCGGUUAACUUUCAUUUUUGUUGAUUUUUCGAUUUUGCAUGUGUUGUUGUUCAUCUUCUCCUAUUUUGAGUUUUUGAUUCUGCCAAAAUUUUUCUUUCAGAUCAAUUACCAGCUGUUUUAACUUUCAUUUUUAUUGUUUUUUGGAUUUUUCAUAGACUGCGUACAUCUUACUCACCCCAGACCUCACUAUGUGAGAAUACACUGGGUUUGUUGUUGUUGUUGUUUAUUUUCUCCAAUUUUGAGUUGUUGAUUUAGAAUAUAUUUUUAUAUUGGUCUGUGUUUUGGUUUUUGUGGUUGUAUGUUUUGUGGACUAAGACUAACUGUUGAGUAUUGUAAUACACAUGUUAAUCAAGAAUAUUGUGUCAAUGUAUAGUUUGUUAGUUAAAUGCUCAAAGUUAGUUAUAGGUUAAAACCCAGUAUCGGAAACAACCUCUCUACUUCUUUAGAGGUAGUGGUAUGGACUGCGUACACUCUACACUCCCUGGACCCCACGAUGUGGGAAUAUACUGGGUUUGUUGUUGUUGUUGUGAAAUACCACUUAAUGUACAUUGAAGAUAAUGAAGAAAUAUACAAAAAUCUAUUCAUCAAGAAUCUCUCUUUUUAAUUUGUGUAUUCUAAGUCAUUGAUACUUAGUAUAAUUACAUGGUAUCAGAGCAUGCAUGCUAGAUUACACUAGCUGGAUAAAGUUCGAUUCUGUAAUUGUGAAUGAGAUUCAACUGUAGAUCUUAGUAGUAAGUUGUAGCUGGUUCUUGAGAUCAAGGUUUCGAAGCUUGUGGCAUAAACUGCAAAAAUGGUGAAUGAAAUUGGUACUGAAGCUGCAUGAUCUUCAAGAACAUCAAUAACUGCGUUGGAUUAUAAUCACCCUCUCUUCCUCAGUCCUUCAGAUGUAAGUGGAAUUUAGAUAAUUUCUUUCCAAUUAACAGGUGUUGAGAAUUUUUCUAUCUGGUUUAGAUCUAUGCGUAUCGCCCUGUUAAGAAGGAAUAAGUUAGGUAUUUGCUCUAAAGAUAAAUUUUCAACUGAUCUGGGAAGCCACUGGGAUAGGGUAAAUGCAAUUGUCCUAUCUUAGAUUAUGAAUUUUGUCUCUAAAGAACUUCUAGGAGGAAUCAUGUGUGCAUUAGUUGUGUUGUCUGGGCAGAGCUGUAUGAAAGAUUUCACAAAAUAGAUGGUGCAAGAACUUUCAAUUUACACAAAGAAAUUGCAACCCUUUCUCAAGGGAAUGCAUUUCUGUCUUCUUAUUUCUCAAAGUUGGAAGACUUGUGGGAAGAAUUUGAGGCCCUAGUGUCCGCAUCUUGAUGUGAUUGUGACAAGUCCAAAGAGUAUGUGCUUUAUCUACAAAAACUGACACUGUUUCAGUUUCUGAAGGAUCAAAUGAGUCGUACACACAGGCAAGUAGCCUAAUGUUACUCAUGACCUCUCUUCCUACUGUAAAUUAGGCAUAUGCUACAGUCAUAAGUGAUGAAAGUCAUAAAGCUACAACAAUUCAUGCUGGGAUCUUGGGAACUAGUCCUGUUGUUGUGUCUGGAAAUAACUGAGCUGGCAAUGUACUCAAGACAUGGAAAUAGUGGGAGUAAUCCUCAGAAGUUUAAGAAGAAUUACAACCUUCAAUGUGAUUUCCGCAAAUUGAAAGGACAUACUAGAGAGACUUGCUGGAAACUUGUUGGUUAUCCAAAUGAUCACAAGUUCAAGAAGAAGUCUAGGAUGGAAGGUAGCAAUGCAGCUUGUAAUGUUUCUCUUGAUACACAACUCAAUCAUCAUGGUCUAGGAUCAUGUAAUCAACUUGCAGGGAAAGGCUUUCAGUCUUAUGAUAUAGGAAUUCAAGCUGGUUCUGAUGUGCAGAUGAAUCAAAUCAGUCAAAUGGGAAGUGUACCAUUCACUAAAGAGCAAUAUGAGCAAAUCUUGAGAAUGAUUAAUAACAACAACUUUGGCUCACAUGCAAGAGAAUCAGAAAAUGCUGGCAGCACAUCUAAUGCAGGUAUUAGUGCUUUCUCAGCAUCUGUUAAGUCCAGAGAAUGGAUUAUAGAUUCAGGGGCUACUAAUCACAUGGUAGAUGAUUUAGAUUUACUCCUUGGACACUCUACAACAAAGUCAGACACACCAAGAGAGGUAUAUUUGCCAAAUGGUGGUACUACUAAAAUAACACAUGUGGGAAGUAAUUGCUUAUCAAAAGAUAAUGUGGUAACUAAUGUAUACCACAUACCGGAUUUUCAUUACAAUUUGUUGUCUGUAUCACAAGUGACCAAAGAAUGGCAAUGUUCAGUAAAUUUUUUCCUUGAUUUCUGUGUCUUCCAGGAAAGGUGAGGGGAUCGGUAAGCCUGCUGGAGGAUUAUAUCUACUGGUUGGAUAGCAAGACAAUGAGAUUUCACAGCAUGCAACUAAUAAAGUGACAAAUGGUGGCAUGGUGACAAGAAGUAAUGAUGACAUAGACCUUUGGCACAGAAGAUUAGGUCAUGUGUCUACUCAUGCUUUUAAGAAAAUAGUUACUUCUGAUAUUCAAAGUAUAGAAGAUAGAAUAAGGAAAUGUACUAUGUGUCCUUGUGCAAAACAAGCUAGAUCUUCUUUUCUCUAAAGCAAUGUUCAGAGUACAUGUUAUUUUGAUCUUAUGCACAUGGAUGUGUGGGGACCUUAUAAGAUAACAACUAUGAAUGACAAUAUUUUUUGACAGUUGUGGAUGAUUUCUCAAGAUUUACUUGGGUCUUUCUUCUUAAAUUCAAGACUGAUGUGUACAUUCAGAUCAAACAGUUUCUUACAUAUGUUAAAACAAAGUUUGGUUAGGUUUUUAAAGUAGUAAGAAACGAUAAUGGAACUGAGUUAAACUCAGUAUGUAGUAACUUUUUCAAUACAAAUGGCAUCAUACAUCAGACAACCUGUGCUUAUACACCUUAGCAAAAUGAUGUUGCUGAGAGAAAGCACAGGCGCAUCCUAGAAGUCACAAGAGCAGUUAGGUUUCAGGCUUCUAUUCCCAUACAUAUUUGGGGUUAUUGUGUGUUAGUUGCAGUGCACAUUAUUAAUAGGCUACCUAGUUCGGCUAUUGAUUAUCAAGUUCCUUAUGAGAGGUUAUAUAGUAAGAAAGCCAGCUAUGAUCACUUGAGAGUGUUGGGAUGUCUAUGUUAUGCUAAAGUGCUGAAUGAGCAUGACAAGCUUAUGCUUAGAGCUAGAACCUUUGUGUUGAUAGGGUUCUCUAACACACUGAAAGGAUAUGUUCUCUAUGACAUAUCUAGCAAAUCUGUGCUGAAUGAGCAUGACAAGCUUAUGCCUAGAGCUAGAACCUUUGUGUUGAUAGGGUACUCCAACACACUGAAAGGAUACGUUCUAUAUGACAUCUAGCAAAUCUGUGUGUAGAGAUAUUUCAUUUGGGGAAGAUGUAUUCCCAUUUAAAGUAAACAAGGAUCAAAAUAAGUUGCCUGUUCAUAUAUUUCUAUUGGAGGAUCAAUGUCCAGUAGUAGGUGAUGUUGUGACACCUCUGCAGAUUUCAGUAACUGUGACAUCUCAAGGAAUAACUCAACUAAUCAACAAGAGCAACAUUUGCAGGUUGUUCCUACUCUGCACAGUCUAUAACUAAGGUGGAUCAAAGAAGAUCAACUAGAAGUCAAAGGCUUCCUGACUCACCCAACCAACAAGUGCAACAAGAGACUUCUAUAGCUAAGAGGACAGAAAUUCAGGCACCUACAUGUCGGGAUCAGAAGAGAUCAACCAGAAAAAAUCACCUGUGUGGAUGACUGAUUUUAUCACUACUGGCAAGACCAAAAAGGUACCUUAUGAUCUAGGAAACUACUUAUGACAAACUAUCUUCUCAGUAUAAAGCCUAUGUUGCAAAUUUAUCUUCUAUUGUUGAACCUACAAGUUACUAUGAAUCAUGUAAGGAAUCAAGAUGGGUAGAGGCUAUGAAGGAGGAGAUAGCAGCUCUUACUUCUAGUCACAUCUCGGAUAUAGUGUCCUAACCUAAGGUUUAAGAAGCCUAUAGGUUGUAGGUUGAUAUACGGAGUUAAAUAUAAAGCCAAUGGCGAAGUAGAAAGGUUUAAGGCUAGACUUGUAGCAAAAGGAUAUGGUCAAAGAGAAGGCAUUGAUUACAAAGAAACCUUUUCUCCAGUUGUAAAAAUGAAGAUCGUUAGAACAAUACUGGCUACUGCAGCAAGAAGGAAGUGGUUUGUUCAACAAAUGGAUGUGUAUAAUGCUUUCUUAAAUGGUGAUCUAACUAAUGAGGUGUACAUGGAACUACCUCAGGGAUUUGCUAGUUAGGGGGAGAAUGCAGUGUGCAGACUAGUCAAAUCCUUGUAUGGACUAGGGCAAGCUCAUAGAUAGUGGAAUAACAAGCUAUCAGAAACUCUACUUAAGUAUGGUUUCAGUCAAAGUAUAUAUGAUCCAUCACUGUACAUCAAGAAAACUACUGAAGGAAUUACUUUUGUGUUGGUAUAAGUUGAUGACAUGUUAAUUACUGGUGACAGUCUUAAGUUGAAGAAACAAAGGUAAACUUGCAACAAAGUUUCAAGAUGAUACAUCUGGGAGAGUUAAGGUUCUUCCUUGGAAUUGAAUUUGCAAGGUCUGAUAAGGGAAUAUUAAUGCAUCAGAGGAAGUAUGCAUUAGAAUUGUUAUCAGAAUUAGGAUUAAUAGCUGCUAAACCUAUCUCUACACCUAUGGACUACAACAUUAAACUAACCUGUAGGCAGUUUGAUGAUCAUGUGAAACAAAUUCAGCUAGAUGAAGAGUAGUGAGGUAUGUAAAGAAUCAACCAGAUCAAGGUGUGUUAUUGUCCAGUGAUCCAAAUGAGGAAGUUAGUGCCUUUUGUGAUGCUGAUUGGGCACUGUGUCCUCAAACUAGAAGAUCUAUUACUGGAUACUAUGUGAAGAUGGAAAAGUCUGUGGUUGCAUGGAAAUCAAAGAAACAAGCUACAGUUUCAAGAAGCUCAGCAGAAGCUGAGUUUAGAAGUCUUGCUGCAGUUACAACUGAGCUAGUAUGGAUUGUGGGAUUAAUGAUAGAAAUUGGCAUUGAAGUGUAUCUGCCAGUUGAAGUGUUUAGUGACAGUAAAUCUGCUAUUCAAAUAGCAGCAAACCCCGUCUAUCAUGAAAGGACCAAACACAUUGAUAUUGAUUGCUUCUUCAUAAGGGAGAAAAUAGUUCAAGGGAUGAUUACAACUAAGUAUGUUCCAACAAAAGAUCUGCCUGCAGAUAUGGUAACCAAAGGUCUUACCAAAGCUAAAUUGAUGCAUCUCAAUUCCAAGCUAGGAAUAUGUGAUAUCUUCACAUCUUCCUAGCUUGAGGGGGAGUGUUGAGUAUUGUAAUACACAUGUUAAUCAAGAAUAUUGUGUCAACGUAUAGUUUGUUAGUUAAAUGUUCAUAGUUAGUUAUAGGUUAAAAGUCAGUUGCUAGUAGAGUGAUAGUUAACAGUUUGAGUACUUUGGCAACUGAUUUGUAUAGAAGUAGUUGGUAUUAUUGCAUCUAUAGAUACCACUUAAUGUACAUUGAAAACAAGGAAGAAAUAUACAAAAAUCUAUAUUCAUCAAGAAUCUCUCUUUUCAAUACACUCCUCCUCCUUCUUCUUCUUCUUUAAUCUUGUGUAUUCUAAGUCAUUUAUACUUAGUAUAAUUACACUAACCACGACUGAAUUUUGCUUUAAUAGAUGAAAACCAAAAAAAUAUCAAAUUACAGAGAUAUUAUAGCUCAUAUUACUACAACAACAUACCAAGAAUAUUCCCACCAAAUGGGGUUUGGGGAGGUUAAGAGUACGCAGUCCAACCACUACCUCAAAUGUGAGAUAGAGAGGCUGUUUUUGAUAGACCUCCGACUCAAAAUAAAGCAAUCUAAGAUCACAUAAGGAAUAGUAGUAGAACAAGAUACAAUAGAUGAUUUUUUUUGCUUUUUUUUUUUUUGGUCAUUUUGUUUCAGCUGUCAGUCUAUGUCGCGGUAGUUGUUGUUCUUGCAUUCAAUCAUCUUGGCUUUGGUAAUUGUCAUCUUCUUGCAGGACUUGUGAUAAAUCUCGUUAAACUCGGCAAAUUAUAUAGUAGUUUUUCAUCUUUUAAGCUAUUGUGAUAAGGCUGGUGCUUUAACCUCUCUUUCACUACUCUUUCCGUUUAUAAGUUAGUUUAAAGCGCAGCUGAAUGUAUGGUCCUUGGUUGCAUUGUAAUUAGUGUUUCCUUAUACAUUUGUUUGUACGUGCUUUAUUAUUGCGCAUUAUUGAUGUUAGUAUUCAUAAUUUUCUCAUUUGUAAUGGUUUAGUUGAAAAUCUGAAUCAUGCUAUAUCACCAUCAUCUGGGGUGAAUCACAUUUGAACCGUGUGAUCUUUUAUUUAUGUUUUCCUGGGCAGUUGAACUUUGACGGCAAAUGUCAUGUACACCAAAGGUCUUAGUUCUCGGUACAAUGGAUUCGAGUUCCAUACAUGAACUAUCCAAGUGUGUGAGUUUACUAACUAAAUUAUCAGCAACUACAUAUCAAAACAUACCUCAACUAUUAAUUGUUUCGAGUUUCAUAGUGACUUAAUGGUUGUGCGAGUUCACUACUGAACUAUCACCAACUAUUUAUCAAAAUACACCUCAACUAUCAAUUGAUCUCUUUUCUGACCUAAAAGAUGGUGAUAUUCCUUUGGAUGGAGUUAUUACUUGCAUUGGGCCAUGACUGGAAGGUUUAACAUGAAAUGUAGUGCUGUUUGUGGAGUAGAAGGGUUGAGAGAUUCGCAGUUAUAAUGUUCUGCCCAUAUGUUGGGUGGUUGAGAAAAAGAGGGGAGUUUGUAGUUAAGCUAAAAGUUACUUGCUUUAUGUUUGUGUCUUCGGAAUGUAUAUAUGUCAUUUUGUUCUCUGUUUUUUAAAAUAGUAGCAAGGAUUUAUGCUUUCUACAACUACAAAAUAGUUAUUUACUCGUUAUAUUUCUAUCUGUGAUACUGUCGUAGCAUUAGACUUCAGGAAUUUUGGAAGCAAAACUUUCUCAAGAGAUGCCUAAAGCUUUUAGCUUUGAUCAUUCGACACCAAGUGGAACAUACGCAUGUAGACUCCAAGUAGUGUGUUUUAAUGUAGGGUUGAGUGGAGAGCUAAUCCGAUGCUUGCUGGAGAUGGACUCCUAGCUAUUAAUUAUCUUUCUUUGGGUUUGUUUAUUCUAAUUGCAUGUUUAGUAUUGAAAAACUUUUAUCAUUCUGGUGUAGAUUAGGACAUUGGAAGGAAUGACUUUACCAGGUCCAUUUGUUAAUUUUUUCUUGGCCCCUCGUGGAAACUUAAUGAAUUAAUGAGAUUAUAGAUGAUAUACUGUACUGUCUUAAUUUAAUUCUUACAUAAAUCCAAAUGGAAGAUGUUGUUGUGCUUACACAAGAUGCUCUGAAAAUUAAUAUUUAUUGGAAUUAAUCAAUCCAUUAUAUUUCAUGAUAUUGUAAAUAAUGCAUGUGUACUUUAAGAACAAAUAAAACUGUGACAAAGCAUCAUCUCUGAAAAUUCUGCUGAUAACCGUUGUCGUCGGGAUUGUUCUUCUUUUGAACUUCAGAAGUUGAACAUAGUGUACUUAUUAGAGCAUAUGUGCCUUCGAUAAAUCCUCCUAAGUUAGAAACUCGCUUCCUCAUCCUUUAAGUUUUGCUCGCUACUUCCAUUUUGAUAGAAGUAAAUGCUUGAAGCUACCUUAAACUUAAAAAAACCUUUUCUGCACAAGUCUUACUAUUUUUGGUGUUGCUAUUUCAAUAAUUUUUGGGGUUUGGUAAUUUUCAUUUUACACGAAUGAUGAAUUGUUCCGUGAUUUUCAGGUAAAUGAGGCGUAGUCUUGAGGUCUGGAAGAUGGGCACUGUCAAUUACCUGGAGGCACUGAAGCUGCAAGAGAAGCUGGCAUCUGAUAGAAAAGCUCUUAAAAUUACUGAUACCCUAUUAUCUCUACAACAUCCACCGACAUAUACAGUUGGCAAAAGGGAAACAGUUCAUAAUCUACUCAUUCCUGAUUCAGAGCUCAAAGCCAUUGGGGCAGAACUUCACUAUACACAAAGAGGAGGUGACAUUACUUUUCAUGGUCCUCACCAAGCAAUCUUGUAUCCCAUUGUUUCAUUGAGAUAUAUUGGUUUGGGGGCUAGAAAGUAUGUUGAGAAGCUUGAGCUAACCAUGAUAGAAUUGGCAUCUAUGUAUGGUGUGAAAGCACAGGUUGGAAGAAGAUGUGAAACUGGGGUUUGGGUUGACGACAGAAAGAUUGGUGCAAUUGGUGUUAGAAUUUCAUCUGGGAUCACAUCUCAUGGAUUAGCAUUCAACAUGGAUCCUGAUUUAAACUACUUCAAGCAUAUUGUGCCUUGUGGAAUUGCAGAUAAAGAUGUUACAUCUUUGAAGAAAGAGGCAGAUGUAGAGCUUCCUUCUGAAGAAGUGAUACAGGAGAAAUUGAUUGCUUGUUUUGUAAAAAUAUUUGGGUACAGCAAUGUCAUUUUGAAAGAUAAGUCAAAGUUUUAAUUUGUUGAGCAAUAGUGUUGUCAUGCACUGAUGCAUUUAUGUGACUAAUUCUUUGUAUGAGUAGUACCGUUCUUUUAAUAUGUGUUGUUUUUGUUAUUAUCUGUUGACUCUUGUACUUCCAUUAGUAUCUGUUGUUUUUUCUUGAGCAGAGAGGCUAUCGAAAACAACCUAUCUACCUUUGAGGUAUGGUUAAGGUCUGCGUACACUACCUAUCUACCUCUAAGGUGGGUUAAGGUUUGCGUACACUUUACCCUCCCAGACCUCGCUUUGUGGGAUUACUCUGGGUAUGUUGUUGUUAUUGUAUGAAUAAGCAAUAAUUACAAAUGCAAGCAUGUUACAUUUGCUGAGUAUCAAGUUUGAAAUAAGAAUACAUUUAAGGCCAUUUUGCUGUACUGUGGAUUUUCCAUGUGUAGGGUUCACUGUUUAACUUUCUUCGGCCCACAUUGAGAAGAAAGCAUUUAAAUUCUUUGAUGCUCGGAGUAUCCAAUUUCACAGUCAAGCAACUUAGUAAGCCCUGAAAUAUUGCGCAGAUAAUGCCUUCUGUGUGCCAGGUUAGUUUCUAUAAUGUAUAAAUAUCUUGUAUGGCCAACUUAAUCUGUUGCAACAAGCAAUUUAUCCAUUUUCAAGAUUAGAAAAUCACUCAUUUUAAAGCAAUUUACCUAUCAAUAUGCUUUUGUGACCUGAUAGUGUAUAACAUGUGUAUAUAGCUUAAAAAAUGACUUCCGCACAAGAGUCUGCUUCUCUUAUUAUAGAGCAUCUCUUCAUGUCCAGAAAACAUCCAAUAACUGUUCCUAUCGCCUCCUCAUUCAAGUUUAUCUUUCAAGGCAACUGGCAAAAUACUUGAAUGUGAGAAAUAAUUACUUAUUUCAUGCGUGUUAGUCUGUAUUGAGUUGGAUGUUCUGGAAGCUGCAUUGUAGGAUCAAGAUUUCUCUCUUAGCAGUGAAUGGUUUUCACAGUUUUGGACUUGCAUUUAAAGUUUUUGGUUGAGCGUCACUUGAAAGAGAUUGCCGAGGCUUUUCUUUUCCUUCACGUGUCUCAUUAUGCAUCAUGUCUUAUACAAUCUUUUUGUCUCUGAUUCGUACGACGGGUAUGUUGUUUUUAUUCGUAGGAUAUGGAAUCUAUAGUUGAGACCAUGAUGCAGUAGCUUUUGUCAAAGGAAAUUCUUCAUGAACCCAUGAAAGAAAUUGAAGAAAGAUAUCCUAAGUGGUUGGAGGACAACAAAGUCAAGUUGAGCACUGAAGAAUAUGAACGUUACUAACAUCAGUACGAACUUAUAAGAGAUCUGAACAAAGUUUAUGAGACUGAACCUAGCAACUUCAACAACAUUGUAGAGCUUAUGCAGAAAAUGCAAGAACGUGGCCAACCGCCAAAUGAUAUUGUUCAUGAGCUUGCUCCGGACUUUGAUAUAUCUUCUCUUGGACAAUUGUAAGUCCUCUGAUAUUUUCAGGAUUUUGUGCAUAUAGAGUUAACUUCAUACUGAUAACUGUUUGAUGUUUUUAAAUACUUCCGAUUAGACAACAAUGUUACCUUGUUUUUUCUUAUAUUGAGCCUAAUUGUCCCCUCUGGUUUUGCAGAUCCCCAGAGAUGUUGGAAGGCCAACAGAACUGCUGUAUCAUGUAAAAGAUGCCCUGUCCCAAUAUUCUUCUGCUAGUUCAUUAAUUUUCUUUUGUUACAAUUUGCAUAGAACAACAUUUAUUUUUUGCUUGGAUUUUACUUGUAAUGUUAUUGCUCAUUUCAUCUCCUAGAUAUAUGCCAUAUAUUUUUUCUUUUGGGUGUUCAAAUGUCCUGUUGGACCACAAAAUGGCUGUAUGGUUCUUAGAAUGGUGGAAUAAGAGUUAUCUGCAAAUACUGUCAACAUGUGCUUUAAAUUUAAAACAGUAAUAGGCGAUGAAUACAUGUUCAUCUAGUCAUGACUGUCGCGACUAGAGUCGCGAAGGUCUUAUCUAAAUUGAUUCACUCGAGCUGAUAAGCCCGAACUAAACACAGAGAUGGAGUCAAGAUUCCCACCGAGGGGAUUCAAUAUAAGAAAAAACUAGUCGAAGGGACAUCUAUAGUGUAUAAAUAAAAAUCAUUUUACUAUUUAUUAAUAGUAUAAUUUUUUGUCGGAGGACGUUUGGAUGAACUUCUAGUAAAAGACUGUUCCGCCCUUGACUAAACUAACUGUCCCCAGCUAGUUUAAGUUAGUCCUUCCUGUCUUAUUGCUUAUGUUUUGUGCAUAAUGCAAUGUCAUNNNNNNNNNNNNNNNNNNNNNNNNNNNNNNNNNNNNNNNNNNNNNNNNNNNNNNNNNNNNNNNNNNNNNNNNNNNNNNNNNNNNNNNNNNNNNNNNNNNNNNNNNNNNNNNNNNNNNNNNNNNNNNNNNNNNNNNNNNNNNNNNNNNNNNNNNNNNNNNNNNNNNNNNNNNNNNNNNNNNNNNNNNNNNNNNNNNNNNNNNNNNNNNNNNNNNNNNNNNUAUAAUUGCUUUCACAAUGUUCACCAGUUUAAUAAAAGAUUUUAAUUGAUUUACUGAUCUAGAUAACAAAAAGCUUCAUUAAAGACGAAAGAUUGAAACAAACAAAAAACUAGAUUUAAUAACAUAGGAAUUCCAUAACCUUCUUUUUUUGGAGGGGAUAGGGCAUGGGGGUGGGGUGGGAGGUGUUUCUAAAUCUCAAAUAAAUGGGAAUGAAGACUAAACAAUAAUUGACUUAACAACAUAGAUAAAAGUUGAUCAUAUUAAAAGAUGUAGCUGGUUAAGUUUCUUUUAGGCACAACUUUAUAUUCAAGAACUUCAAUUAUCAUCUCUGUGAUAAUUAUGAGUUCAAGAACUCAUCUCUUCUAGAUCAAGGGCAACUUCUGAAAUAAACUUGAAUUGCUCGGCUGGAACAUCACCUUUUAUUUCUUUUUUAAUUUUGUCCAGUCUUGAUUUAUAUGCCUCAAAGUGCUUCAACUUGUGCUCCAACAUAUGUUUAUUUGUUGGCAUUUCUGAGUCAAGGUUUUUCUCCUUGAAUGCUUGUACUUAUUUACGAAGAUCUUCAAAUGCCUCCAAGGCAUUUGUUUUGCUCAUAUUAGUAUGAUUCUGUUGGCUAUCGUUUUGUUUCAAUUCAUGAAACUUAUCAAUUACUUUUUCUAUACUUGGGGAGCCAUAGGAAUGUGGUUUUCCAGCUUGUGUAAAGAGAAUAAAACCGACAUCUGCUCCGGUUAGAUUUGAAUACUCUUUUGCUUUCUCGUCCAAGCCUUUUUUUCUUUUUGAAAAAGCAACAGUGCAAGCUUCUUUAGACUCAAUCAACUUUAUUUCGAUCUUUUGUCUACCCUUUCCACCCCUCUUAUCCAUUGCGAAAUAAAUAAU